AGGAGCAGCAAAAGUGUUAAUGUGUUGCCAUGAAGCGGUGUCGCUGUCUGGACAUACGGCGUGGUGAGCCUGUCAUGCCCUGACACAGGCGAGCAGCUAAACUUAAAGUGUGGAGUGAGAGGAAUGCCAAGGUCCAGUAAGCCCCUCGGGGCAAUUAGGAAGGGAAGAGGAGAUUCUACUGGGGAACAAGUGUGUGUUUUCAUGUGUGUGUGAGACAGAAAUAGAGUUGAGAGACUCAGUUGGAGUUCAUGAGCUCGUUUUCAGCCAGAGAAGUAACCAGUGAGCAAAGGAGUUCAUGUGCAGUCAAGAGAACGAGAAGGGAUCAAGCUUGGAGCGUCAAACAGGUUAUGCCCUGUUUUGUGAUUAACCCUGGCAGCCAUACACUACAGCUGGAAGCGCAACACAACAUCCAGCACCGUGAAGCUCCAAGGCUGUAGACAUGACAAGGACAGAGCAGGUCAGCUCAGUAGAGAGCACUCUGUGGUAAUGAGCUGCUCCACUUUCAUGACAGAUGGAAAAUGUGCAGCAUGCUGCGCUCUUCUCCUCCCUUCCCUUCUCCACUCCGCUUCGCCCAGUUCGCCCGACCAUCCAUCCACCCAACGGCGCCGGCACUUCAAUGUAUCAAAUGAUCGGGACGUGGCAACGAGAGGAGGAGCCACUUGGAGUUGAGGCAGUGGAAAGAACGCCUCACCCUGUUCAUCAAUAUUGCAGCUUUACCUGGUGAAAGCUAACACUGCCCAACAUAUUCCAUCGUGUCAUUGGAAGAAAGGAUCAGAUACCUUGGCUUGACAUGCCAACAUUGUUACCUGUACAAAUGAUGACGCAAAGCUUGCUUAAUUUUUCAUGGUCUCUUUGAAGGAGGAGGAGAAGUUUGGAGGCACUGGAAAACAGAACGUGUUCAAGAGUGCUAUUAUCAACAAGGAGGUCAUGUUUGUUCUAGGCUGACAAGGUGAGAAGCGAAAGAAACCUGAAGAACACGAGCUCCUCCUGGUGCAACAGGCUCAUAAGAGAAGCCUGAUCUUCAGGUGUACCUAAAAAGGAUUUGCAUCAUUUUAUUCUAAGCCAAUAUGGGAAGCCACAAAAAUAAAGAGCAAACCUGCAGCGCCUCAAUGUCAAUAAUACAUAUGCACAGCAUUCCUCUACUGACUACAUUUACCUGUCUACCUCUCGAAACAAUUACAAGAAUGAUCUGAAAAAAAAAGAAGCAAUAUUUACAAUUAGUUUAGUGGGUUAUCCAUUGGGUUGGUAAGCUAGAAGGUUGGUGGUUCAAGGGGGACACAGGGGACACAAACCCCCCUUUGAGUUGGGUCAGGAAGGGAUCCAACAUAAAACUCAGCCAAAGGAAACACCAAAGCCAACAUGUGAAGCUAACUGCUGUGACAAGGGACAACUUUUUUUUUUUUUACUCUACAAAUCAAACAUAAGAAACCUGCAUAAAGGCCCUCUUUAUCUUUCCCUCUAUAAUAGCACUUGUCUGUACAAGAAACCUGAACCAGCUGGCUUCACAAGUACAUCAAGUGUUGCAGAUUUAUUUUGGUCUCUAUUAAUCAUCCAGCACACUACAGCAUAGAUGUUUUAGGAUUUGCUUCUAAUUUAAUUUAGUAAAGGUGAAAAAAUGGAAUGAAGGCAGUGCAAUCAUAAAUAAAAGAGCAGCUACAGAUUUGUGAUAAAUAAAUAAAGGUUAUACUAGUUCGUACAGUAGCUAGCAAACAGACGACCCUUCACUAAUGAACCACCUGCACCAGCUCAGCUCCUGCGUGAAUGAACGUAACUUGAGUGAAGCGUAAAAGUGACUCAAAUUCAUAUUCUGUCAUGACGCUGCUCGUCUGAGCUGUGGUAACUGCUGCAUAUCUCAUUGGUCAGAGGCAGAGUGCUGUCAUGAUAGCAGACUGCGUGCGUGGGAUUGUGUGUGCCUGAUCGUGUGUGGGUGUGUAACACGGUCUGGCUGAGGUCAGGGUUGGUGCACAUUUAAUCUGCUCUCUGUUUCCAGGCCACUCCAAGGACUUUGACACAUCACUUCUGCAUCUAUUAUUCAUAACUGUGGUAUUAGACUGUGUGUCUGUGUGCGCAGAUGCAUGUGCGUGCAUGUGUGGGCACAACACACCGUCCUUCUGAAGCACAAUGUGGCUCAAAAUUCGCCAGAAUUUUUUUGCAGCUAUAAUAUCAACCUUGUUGCAUAAUCACAAAAUUUCUACCACAUACAAACUUACACUCACGCACGGGCACACUGUGCUCCCACUCCAGUUGCACAACCCCUGAAUUUUAGGGAUAGAAUGGCCUUGUUUCAUAAGCAGUCUGCUGCCUACUGGCAGCUGUGCUGUCAGAUGAGGUCAUUACUUGGGGCGGGUCACAAGCACAGUCUGGGCAUAAUGUUGGACACCAUUGUGAAAACCCACCGUGUGUGAAUGAGAAUGACAGCCAAGGGCGACCCUAGAGCUGUGACAAUCCUGUUGUGGGGAGGCUGCAGGGCAUUUGUAUUGUUUCUGUUUUGAGUCGUGUUACCUCGCUGGUUUGUGCAGCGAUGCAUCGAGGAAACAGGGAACAGAGGAGUUGAACGAUGCCUGUGUGUGUCGGUGUGUGAGUGCAGGCUGGUAUUAUUAUCAGCUCAAUGCCAGGGUGGGGUGAAUGGCUUCAGUGUUAUCUCUGGAGCACAGCUUGUUUACGCUAAUAAACACAACUCUAACUCCACUCCAGCCAAUUGUAAAGCGGGCAUUUGCCUAUUGACGCCACUCCAAAGCAAGAAAUCAUCUGGGAUAUGAAUAUACACGAGAACAAUGUUGGUGCCUCACAUUGUUGUAUGCUGAACAAUUUCUCUGGAUGCUCACAUGCCAGCAAUAAUCAGACACUGACGCCUCUUUUGAAUUCAGUGAUCCCCAUUGUUGAGUUUGUGUUGACAGAUUUUUCUGCCUUUCAGAAAACUUCUUGGUGCUGCAGAUCAGGCCGCAAAGACACGCAAAGUUCAGAUGAACCACUUAUUUGGGCAUCUGUACCAGGAAAUUGUUUCAGCUCUUUCCAUGAAAGUAAAGACCUCAUUUAAUGUCAAUGGUCAACAUGUUCCUGAAGAAGACUUGUGCUAAUACUGCAUGGGGGAGUGGAGCACUCAAAUCAUUUCAUCCAGUAGCUAAAGCUUCUUUAAAUCCCUCCAAACAUGAAUUUUUCGACCAAUAGGAAAAUAGUUAAUAUGAUGGGAGUAAAACACCACUCCAUCCAAUAGUCAAGCACCUCAGUUGUUUACCCAAAUCUCUGCAAUCCCUCCGUGAAUAUUUAUUCAGCCAAUGCGAGGGCAGUAGCCCCAGCGCACAAGGACAAAUGUCUGACGAUUUCCUGCUGGCAUCUAGCGUGAGUGUGUCUUAAUCCCUCUGUGCAGUAGGCUAUUUUGAAGAAGUGACUACAGAGUGUGAUGGAUAUGUGCACAUGCUUCACUGCCUGUGCUCACGUAUGUUAAUGUGGCCGUCUACAUAUGACCGUCUUCAUUUUUCUUCAUGUAGCGGAUUGUUUUCUGUGUCACCUCUUUAACCUCUAGCUUCCCCACGCCCACCCCCCGCCGCCCCCUCUGCACCCCACCAAAGCCGCUUUGAGCUCUUUGCUCUGACAUCACGGUAGUCAUCAUCAGUAGGCAUGGAACAGACCAUUAGGUGAGAAAGCGGGGGGAGAUUACUCGCGAAUCAGAACACUUUAGCUUUGGCACUAAAGAGAGAGUCUGAAAAUCCACCUCGGGAUGUAACAAUGAGAAAUUCUUGGCUUUCUUUUUUGUUUUUGUGGGUUUUUUUGUGUCAGAGCAUCUUUGAUUACAACAUACAUCUGAUGCUCUACCAAAAAAAAAAGUAUACUAUAGCAUCCCUUUGGCACAGAAGGAAUGCUCCAAAUAUCUCUGCAUCAGCAGAAUAAAACUACCACUCUCUCUGGUUCACUCUUCAUAUUGUUGUUUUAAACUAUUACUAGUGAGAGGUCAUGACUUAUGGAUCUGUGCUGAAUAAAAGGAGUCAAGAACAAAAGAGUCAAUGUCUGCAAGUUAAACUGUUUGCCUCUAGGAAAGUGCAGUGACGUGUCAGUCCGGCAGGUCUUAGGCAGUCCUAGUCCGAGCUCCAUGACACUGUGGGGAAAAGUCAGACACUAGAAGUUUCCAUGAGCUCUACAAGCCAAUCCUCUGUAAGGCUGCUAGCAUGACUAAGGUGUCACAGUGACCUCCUGGACGUCUGUUUCAAGUUCACAGAUGUGAUGUAACACAGGCAUCUCUUGACUCCAUUAGUGGAUCCACCAGGCUAAUGACAUGUUAUUUUAAGAACAAACUGCACAAUAAACGGAGGUAUUCUGUGAUCUGCAUUUGUUUUAAAUUAAAUUUGGGGAAUUCUUUAUUAAAUCUGCCUAAUGUGCGAGUUCUGAAAACAACAUGUGAGCAGAAUAGUAGGUACUGCAGGUUAUCUGUGUUUGGGCACACAAUUGUAUGAAUAUCCGUUACAUGCCACCUCCCUCUGUCUCUCACCACAUUAUUCGUCUGCUUGUUUACUGUGAUCAGUUUGAUAAAAAUGUGAAAUCAGCAUCCAAGCACUUUAAAGAAGAAAGAUAAUGCCGUAAUUUCUCUAUAGCUUAAAGAAAACCUAAAAAAUAGUCUUCAAAUCAGCAAAUCCUUAUUUGAUGUAUCAAAAUCAACAGCACUUCACCCCAUAAAAAUCUUACUUGAUUUUAAUUUCAAAAUCAACUCUUUGUGAAAUUCUAACACAAGUCUUUCUACAUUUAAGUCCUGUUUUAAGCUUUAAAAUUUUACGUUUUCACUUUUUAAUGUUUUCUAAAAGCUUCAAAGCUUUAGAGUCACAUACACAGAUACAUUUCAUACAUUUAUCUUCACUUUUUUUUAAUGAAUUUUAAACUUGAAGAUGUCAAACUGCGUCUGUUCUUUCAUUUGCAAACAGAUAAAUAUUCACUUGUAGCGCGUUUGUAAAUGACUACAAUUCUGAUAAAAACUCCCCUAGGUCUGCAGAAAUGGCUGAUCAGUCACACACAGUGUUAUGGCUACAGUCUAAUCACAGUAAAGUUGCCAGGCUCACUAAGGGGGCAAAUUUCGCUAGCUGGCUGAAAAGAUUGUACAUAUAUUUCUCCCCCCCCUCAUAAUUAAGAGGUUUGUGUUGUUUCUUUUAGAAACUGUUAAAAAGCUACAUUUUUCUGGCACAGUUUUCAGAGAUAUUUGCAGACAGAAAAGUUCAGAUGACAAACACUGAAAAUAUAAGAAAGUCCAGAUGUUCUUGAAUGUGUCAUUGCUUGGCUGUGUUUGUGGGCAACCAGGAUUCAUGGCAUGGCAUCUGCAAUGAUGCUGAAGAGUGGUCAGUUUGACAAACGAGAAGUUUGCUAUCUUUACAAGAUUAUACUAUUUGGGGAAGAGCACAAAUCCUCCAGUGCAAGUGGUCACAAAGUUACUACUGUGGAGUGAGCUAUUCAUAGCAGAGGCAGAGAUUUUAAGCAGAAGGCCUCGAAGGGGAAAGUUCAACUAAAAUCAAGUGUUAUUUUUCUUUAUCACACGCAGAUUUGGGGAACUCUUUAUCCCACCUUGCCACUGUUUUGGAUUACAUGACCGUAAGUUCUGAACUGCCAACUUAGCGCACUGAAAGGGCAACAGGAAAAUGUAAAAUCCAGAAGUGAAAAAUGGAAAGAAGUUCAACUUUAACAGCUGAAGUGAAACCUCAAAGGCAACGGUUAAACUGAGGAGGAAAUGAAAAGCAUAUAAAAGGCAAUGGAAAAUGAUUUACUUGGAUAUGAAAUUAUUGUGGUUUAUGAAUUUACCAUUUUUCUCCCUCUGUUUUGCAUUUGGCAUUUGAAUUAAUAUUAAAAUAAAAAUGUUUAUAUAAUUUUCAAUUAUGUGCAGUUAUCAUCCUUACAAAACAGUUUAGUACUGAGUCAUAAUAAUAUACUGUUUUUUACCC
ensembl:lncRNA